CUUCUUAGUCGUCGUCGCCAUGUCUUUUCUUUGUUCUUCUGCUUCGUCUCUGUUAUGUUUUUGGACAUUACUACUUGCCGUAGUUUUGAAGCAAUGCAUGAUGGGAAUCCGGAUGUUGUGUGUCAGUGUAUUAACGUGCCGGCUGGAAUGUACACACGCUGAGAAAUAGCUCCGCCCCUGCCUACUUUAUGGGUUAUAGAUAGACCUAUGGAUAACAGAGACAUAUAUAACAGUCUCUUUUUUAGGUAAAAGAGGAAGCUAAAGGCAAUGCCUUUAUGCACGCUCCCAAUAUUGUUGUCCUGGUGGAAAUCGAGAAAAAUUCGAGACAAUCGUUGCCCCGGGAGAUUUUCGGGAGGGGCAUUGAAAUUCGGGAGACUCCCGGUAAAAUUGGGAGUGUUGGCAAGUAUGAUACCAAACCGUCGGCAAAUGUUUGUGGCAUGCAACCCACAAAUAAAGAUGAAAGCAGAGGCAGGAGGCGGAGAAAGGGACCAAGUAGAGAAAGAAGGAACAGUGUGUUACUGCUCGGGAGGUGUCUUGAGGCCAGUCUCUGAGGGAAGUCGACGCCAGCUGUAUGGAUUGCACAAGCUUUGCUGAUCUCCGGUAAGUAGGCGACUUUUACCACAAUUUUCUCACCGAAAACUGCUGGUUGACAUUUGGUCGGGAUCCAUGUUCGCUUGACCGCUCUGAUCCAUAGGAAAGCUUCACCUCCGGGAAUUUUAAACAAGGAAUCACUGUGUGUUUGUGUGGCUAAAGGCUAAAGCUUCCCAACUCCAUCUUUCUACUUUGACUCCUCCAUUAUUAAUUGAAAAAAUUGCAAAAGAUUCAGCAACACAGAUGUCCAAAAUACUGUGUAAUUAUGCGGUUAAAGUAGACGACUUUUAGCUGUGUGUGUGCACAGCGCUAAUAUUUCCUUACAGUCCGCGACGUCACGCGUACACGUCAUCAUUCCGCGACGUUUUCAACAAGAAACUCCCGGGAAAUUUAAAAUUGCAAUUUAGUAAACUAAAAAGGCCGUAUUGGCAUGUGUUGCAAUUUUGAUAUUUCAUCAUUGAUAUAUAAACUAUCAGACUGCGUGGUCGGUAGUAGUGGGUUUCUGGACACGUGCAAACUUGCACAACCAAUACCGUGGUGUUCAUCGUCUUGCCGAGUUCAAGCCACAGCCCGAAACGUCCCCAGUUAAACGAGGAACCCGGCCGAGGGGGGCCUCCAAGUUAAUUUUAUAUCUAUAACAGUAUAAGUGAAGUGAAUUAUAUUUAUAUAGCGCUUUUCUCUAGUGACUCAAAGCGCUUUUACAUAGUGAAACCCAAUAUGUAAGUUACAUUUACACCAGUGUGGGUGGCACUGGGGGCAGGUGGGUAAAGUGUCUUGCCCAAGGACACAACGGCAGUGACUAGGAUAGGAUCGAACCUGGAACCCUCAAGUUGCUGGCACAGCCACUCUACCAACCGAGCUAUACCGCUAUAACUGCUACACGUCUACCGCGUGGUCAGUAAUUCAGGUGAAUGACUAGGAAUUGUACUUCGACAUGCACGUACCACAGAGUUUCUAACGUAUGACCCAAUCCAAACAACCUUUCCCACUCAUGGCGCAAAUAAACAAAGACGAAAAGUGUGGAUGUUAUAAAAAAAAAAAAAAAAGUCUAAGCACAACACAUAAUUCAAAAUUCGACCUAUUUAAAUCCCCUGCAGUGCAUGAUGGAAACAAAAUGCAAAAUACUUUUCCACAUUGAUCCAAUUUGGGGCUUUAUAGCUGCUUGAUAUUUCUGAUUACAAAACUUUAAAGAGGCCGUCACGGAAGUAAACAAGGUAGGAGUCGAACUUUCACAUACUCUUAAAAUGGAAUAUAUACCGUAUAUUACCAAGUAAACGCCCUUGGGCAAAUAACCGCCCAUGUCUGAGCCCAUUUUGUGAAUCAAACGCCUCUUCCUAAUAAUAGCCCAUGUACAGCGGUAAACCACAACUGAUGGACAGAAAUUCUUUAAGGGGGAAGAAGAACAGAAAGUUUGACUUAAAGUUCAAGCUAGCGGUUGUGAAGUAUGCGGAGAAGAAUUCUGGUUUGGCAGCGGCCAGGCAGUUUAACGUUGACCCAAAGCGUGUACGCGAAUGGAAACAAAAAAAGGGAGAACUACUAUCUCAGUCGGCAAUAGAUGGAAAAUGGGCUCGCUUAUCCGGCGGAGGUAGGAAGAAAGUGAGCGACGAGCUUGAUGCUAAUUUGUGUCAGUGGAUACAUCACCUUUGUGGACUGGACCACCGUGUGUCCCGCAAAAUUAUCCGCAUUAAGGCCAAGGAGUUGUAUGCCACCACGAGAGACACCGGGGUGGUGUUUGGUGCAACGAGUGGCUGGCUUAAUCGAUUUCUGCGUCGGAUCAACUUUACCCUCAGGAGGAGAACAACUGUUGCACAGGAGGACGCUCCCGUCGAGAAGAUUGUCAACAUCCUCGUUUUCUCUACUAAACAGAUAGAGGCCAAGAAAAUCCAGCCCAAAAUGAUUAUCGCCAUGGAUGAAACAGUCGUCUGGUUUGACAUGGUUGGUUUUUAGUACGGUCAAUGAGAGGGGCGCCCGCACCAUCUGCCUAAAAACAACCGGCCACACCGGCUCUUGCAGCCAAAACAGACGGGACAAAGCUGAAGUCUUACAUUGUGUUUAAAGGUGCUGUCCGUGAUGUAAAGGCUAUGCAGAGCAUCCCCGGGGUGAUCAUAGCUUCUUCCAAGAAUAGCUGGUUUAAUGAUGACCUGACAAAGGAUUGGCUCCAGAGGGCGGUGGGGAAGUUUCACUUUGGAUCGAGGCUACUAGCAUGGGACUCGUACCGAUGCCAUAUCAGCGAGGCCACGAAGGCAGAGCUCAAAGGGGGCUACAACCUUACAAUGGCUGUUAUAUCUGGAGGUUGCACAAAGUACCUGCCGGCCCUCAAUGUUGUGUGGAAUGGCCCUUUCUAAGCGCAGCUCCAUGACUACUAUGAUAACUGGAUGGCUGGGGAUAAAGACAAGACCUACACCAAGUCAGGGAACCUGAGAGCCCCUUCCCGCCGCCUCCUGGUCGACUGGGUCCUGGGAGCCUGGGAUGCUCUGAAUCGGGACACUGAUCAACUCAUUCAAGGUGUGUGGGCUGACGGUGGCAGCUGAUGGGAGUGCGGACCAGCUCAUUUACUGCCUCAAGGAGGGACAGCCAUGUCAGGCAGGCAGAGAGAUGCUUUUGGUGGCUAGAAAGCAGGGCCUUGUUGAUCUCUUGUCUUUUGAUAGUCUUGUUUUUUUGUUUGUAUGUUUACAAUAGCUUUUACAUUUAAAGUUUUUUAUACGAAAAAAAAUUCUGGACAGUAACCAUUGUAACCAAAUAAUGGCCUGGUGCA